rnacentral:sRNA from 1 species
AUAGAGUGAGAUAUGAAAUUGGGU